rnacentral:rRNA from 1 species
GAUGAACGCUGGCGGCGUGCCUAAUACAUGCAAGUCGAGCGAACAGACGAGGAGCUUGCUCCUCUGACGUUAGCGGCGGACGGGUGAGUAACACGUGGAUAACCUACCUAUAAGACUGGGAUAACUUCGGGAAACCGGAGCGAAUACCGGAUAAUAUAUUGAACCGCAUGGUUCAAUAGUGAAAGACGGUUUUGCUGUAAAUUAUAGAUGGAUCCGCGCCGCAUUAGCUAGUUGGUAAGGUAACGGCUUACCAAGGCCACGAUGCGUAGCCGACCUGAGAGGGUGAUCGGCCACACUGGAACUGAGACACGGUCCAGACUCCUACGGGAGGCAGCAGUAGGGAAUCUUCCGCAAUGGGCGAAAGCUUGACGGAGCAACGCCGCGUGAGUGAUGAAGGUCUUCGGAUCGUAAAACUCUGUUAUUAGGGAAGAACAAAUGUGUAAGUAACUAUGCACGUCUUGACGGUACCUAAUCAGAAAGCCACGGCUAACUACGUG